AGCAGCCGCGGUAAUUCCAGCUCCAAUAGCGUAUAUUAAAGUUGUUGCAGUUAAAAAGCUCGUAGUUGAAUUUCGGGGUCAGUAGGUUGGUCGUGCCUAUGGUAUGUACUGGCCUUACUGAUUCCUCCCUCCUGACGAACUGUAAUGCCAUUAAUUUGGUGUUGCAGGGAAUCAGGACUGUUACUUUGAAAAAAUUAGAGUGUUUAAAGCAGGCUAACGCUUGAAUACAUUAGCAUGGAAUAAUGAAAUAGGACGUUGAACCUAUUUUGUUGGUUUCUAGGAUUGACGUAAUGAUUAAUAGGGAUAGUUGGGGGCAUUAGUAUUCAAUUGUCAGAGGUGAAAUUCUUGGAUUUAUUGAAGACUAACUACUGCGAAAGCAUUUGCCAAGGAUGUUUUCAUUAAUCAAGAACGAAAGUUAGGGGAUCGAAGACGAUCAGAUACCGUCGUAGUCUUAACCAUAAACUAUGCCGACUAGGGAUCGGAUGAUGUUAAUUUUUAAUGUACUCAUUCGCGCCUUACG
rnacentral:rRNA from 1 species